CCAACAAGCUUCAUCGAAGCAUGACUUGAAUGAAUUAAGUUCCCUUGUCAGUUACCAUGAAUCGUUUAUGCUUUGUAUUUUGCUUUGUUAUUGUUAUUGUUACUUAUGGUGUUAAUGCAUAUUUAACAAAUAGAGUAACGAUUGUCAUAGACGAAGUACCGGCGCCUCGACAUGUUGACACUAAUGAGCUAAGUGAGGAAAUUCCAUUUGAAGAUUUGUUGACAAUUUUAAGCAAAAAAUGUGCUGAAAUAGGAGAGUUUUGUAACAACAACAGCGAUUGCUGCUCCCAUUCUUGUUUGGGUUUUAUGAAGAGAUGCGUUUCCUAAAAGGCUGAAUGUUCACGAAAAUCAGGAUUAUCAUAUUUAAUUUAUUUUAUUUAGCAAUUUUACGGGCCGGGUGUAUCGGGUGAUUCAAAUGCGUUAAAUCGGGUGGAUUCUUCACGAAAUAUUGAACUUCCUUCAUUGCACCUUCAGAGAUCUUCCAGAGUUCGGGAUGAUUAUUUUUAAAAUCGCUGUACCAUUUGGAAACCUGUGAAAAAAUUACAAUGUUUUAAAAUAAAUACUAUUUAUAAAGGA